rnacentral:rRNA from 1 species
CGGGACACGUGGUAUCCUGUCUGAAUAUGGGGGGACCAUCCUCCAAGGCUAAAUACUCCUGACUGACCGAUAGUGAACCAGUACCGUGAGGGAAAGGCGAAAAGAACCCCGGCGAGGGGAGUGAAAAAGAACCUGAAACCGUGUACGUACAAGCAGUGGGAGCACAGAGCAAUCUGUGUGACUGCGUACCUUUUGUAUAAUGGGUCAGCGACUUAUAUUCUGUAGCAAGGUUAACCGAAUAGGGGAGCCGAAGGGAAACCGAGUCUUAACUGGGCGUUAAGUUGCAGGGUAUAGACCCGAAACCCGGUGAUCUAGCCAUGGGCAGGUUGAAGGUUGGGUAACACUAACUGGAGGACCGAACCGACUAAUGUUGAAAAAUUAGCGGAUGACUUGUGGCUGGGGGUGAAAGGCCAAUCAAACCGGGAGAUAGCUGGUUCUCCCCGAAAGCUAUUUAGGUAGCGCCUCGUGAAUUCAUCUCCGGGGGUAGAGCACUGUUUCGGCAAGGGGGUCAUCCCGACUUACCAACCCGAUGCAAACUGCGAAUACCGGAGAAUGUUAUCACGGGAGACACACGGCGGGUGCUAACGUCCGUCGUGAAGAGGGAAACAACCCAGACCGCCAGCUAAGGUCCCAAAGUCAUGGUUAAGUGGGAAACGAUGUGGGAAGGCCCAGACAGCCAGGAUGUUGGCUUAGAAGCAGCCAUCAUUUAAAGAAAGCGUAAUAGCUCACUGGUCGAGUCGGCCUGCGCGGAAGAUGUAACGGGGCUAAACCAUGCACCGAAGCUGCGGCAGCGACGCUGAUGCGUUGUUGGGUAGGGGAGCGUUCUGUAAGCCUGCGAAGGUGUGCUGUGAGGCAUGCUGGAGGUAUCAGAAGUGCGAAUGCUGACAUAAGUAACGAUAAAGCGGGUGAAAAGCCCGCUCGCCGGAAGACCAAGGGUUCCUGUCCAACGUUAAUCGGGGCAGGGUGAGUCGACCCCUAAGGCGAGGCCGAAAGGCGUAGUCGAUGGGAAACAGGUUAAUAUUCCUGUACUUGGUGUUACUGCGAAGGGGGGACGGAGAAGGCUAUGUUGGCCGGGCGACGGUUGUCCCGGUUUAAGCGUGUAGGCUGGUUUUCCAGGCAAAUCCGGAAAAUCAAGGCUGAGGCGUGAUGACGAGGCACUACGGUGCUGAAGCAACAAAUGCCCUGCUUCCAGGAAAAGCCUCUAAGCAUCAGGUAACAUCAAAUCGUACCCCAAACCGACACAGGUGGUCAGGUAGAGAAUACCAAGGCGCUUGAGAGAACUCGGGUGAAGGAACUAGGCAAAAUGGUGCCGUAACUUCGGGAGAAGGCACGCUGAUAUGUAGGUGAAGUCCCUCGCGGAUGGAGCUGAAAUCAGUCGAAGAUACCAGCUGGCUGCAACUGUUUAUUAAAAACACAGCACUGUGCAAACACGAAAGUGGACGUAUACGGUGUGACGCCUGCCCGGUGCCGGAAGGUUAAUUGAUGGGGUCAGCGCAAGCGAAGCUCUUGAUCGAAGCCCCGGUAAACGGCGGCCGUAACUAUAACGGUCCUAAGGUAGCGAAAUUCCUUGUCGGGUAAGUUCCGACCUGCACGAAUGGCGUAAUGAUGGCCAGGCUGUCUCCACCCGAGACUCAGUGAAAUUGAACUCGCUGUGAAGAUGCAGUGUACCCGCGGCAAGACGGAAAGACCCCGUGAACCUUUACUAUAGCUUGACACUGAACAUUGAGCCUUGAUGUGUAGGAUAGGUGGGAG